AAGAACUUAGGUUAAUUGUAGACCAAAGGCCUUCAAAGCCUUCAGCGGGAGUUAAAAUCUCCCAGUCCUUG
rnacentral:tRNA from 1 species